CGCUUACACAUGCAAGUCGAGCGGUAACAGGGGGUGCUUGCACCCCGCUGACGAGCGGCGGACGGGUGAGUAAUGCAUAGGAAUCUGCCCAGUAGUGGGGGAUAGCCCGGGGAAACCCGGAUUAAUACCGCAUACGCCCUUUGGGAGAAAGCAGGGGAUCUUCGGACCUUGCGCUAUUGGAUGAGCCUAUGUCGGAUUAGCUAGUUGGUGGGGUAAAGGCCUACCAAGGCGACGAUCCGUAGCUGGUCUGAGAGGAUGAUCAGCCACAUCGGGACUGAGACACGGCCCGAACUCCUACGGGAGGCAGCAGUGGGGAAUAUUGGACAAUGGGGGCAACCCUGAUCCAGCCAUGCCGCGUGUGUGAAGAAGGCUUUCGGGUUGUAAAGCACUUUCAGUGAGGAGGAAAACCUUCUGGUUAAUACCCAUGAGGCUUGACGUUACUCACAGAAGAAGCACCGGCUAACUCCGUGCCAGCAGCCGCGGUAAUACGGAGGGUGCAAGCGUUAAUCGGAAUUACUGGGCGUAAAGCGCGCGUAGGUGGUUUGAUAAGCGAGAUGUGAAAGCCCCGGGCUUAACCUGGGAACGGCAUUUCGAACUGUCAGGCUAGAGU
rnacentral:rRNA from 1 species